ACCAGUGUGAUGUCAGUGGUGACAGCUGCUAUGCAGGAAGGGAAAGCUGGGUGAAGAGUGGAUGGCCUGGGAGCAGCACUGCCACGUGGAAUAGGAAACCAGAGAUGGCCUCAUAGGGGAAGAGACUUUCAGACAGAGGAAACAGUACGUGCAGAGGCCACAGGCCAGAGCCUGGCACAUCAGAGAUUGUUUAAUGCCUGUUGAGGACAGAAAUCAGAUCUGUUUUGUCCAUAAUGCCAAUCAAAGCUGAGUUCUCCGAAGUGGACAGAGAAGUGAGUGACUCUCAGAAAGUCUCUCUGAUCUAUUUUUGGCUGAGUGUGCUGUAAUUCACAGUAUGUCCGGACACGGGAUAUUUUUCAGCUUCAGAUAUCUUCAUGGAAGGCGCUAAGUCUCAGGCAGAGCAAUGCUUAGCUUCUUGUGUCCUCAGCACAUGCAUAGAAGUGGGUGUCAGAGCAACGUGCGCCCCCGUGCAUGUCAGCAGAGACAUUGCCAGUGCUCCAGGAGCACUUGUUCCCAAUUUAAUUAAAAACAAAAAACUCCCAAUAGCAAUUUGUCACUGUGCUUUAGGAGGCAUGGAAGCUGUGCUCCAAACUACUGUGACCUGGUUGUUUUGCAGCAAACCUGGUCUGGCUCAUUAACAACUGGAGGCAUAGUCUGUGCUUCAUGCUUCCGUUCCUCAGUUACUCCUGUGAGCCUGGGGUUGGGUGAUAUAACAAACAUGAAGGGAGACCAGUGGGAGGAAAAAUCAGGGCAGGGGCUGUCCCUGUUCUCCAGGCUGGAGCUGGCACUGGCAGCUGCUAUUGCAAACUCAACCUUACUAAUGCCAAUUGGAAAUAUGCACUCAAUCCACUGGGAAAAGCAAGUCAUGAAGAAAUCUCAUCCCCACAGCCAGCACACCCCAGGCUGAUUGGCGAAGCUGCUAAUUGCUUAACACAAGCAAUUAGCAAGGUAGAUGACACCGGAGAAAUGCAAAGCAGUUGCAGUGAGCAUUUUAAAUAUCGCCUUAACUCACUGGAGUAGCUGAGAGGUCCGGAUGAGACCAGUAGCAUAUCGAUCACUUAGGAGCUGCAAAGACACUAGCUCUGCGUUAAUCAAAGAAUCUGUCUCCGCUGAGGGGAAAAAGCCAGGAAAACACCUGAAAAUGUGGCUUUCGGCUCCUGUGCCCUAGUUUCUUCACCAGAAACCAAAUUCCAGACUCCAUUCAAUUCCUCAUCAGUGAUCAAUAUAGGUAACAAAAUGCUGGGCUGUGUGUGGAUCUAUAAGCAGAUGCUGGAGGCACUGGUACAGACACAGCUGAGCCUGAGGGAUCAGCAGCUCCCUGGUACCUCCCUGCCUUCAUCAAGGAGAAAUGUUUAAUCACAACAGAGCAAGAUAUACAUUCUUCCUGCUGAGGGUGGAAGGAACCUGAGGGCUGUAGUUUAAGGCUUGAAGAAGUGGCAGAGACGCAGAUCACAUCUCUGCUCUUGCUGGUCCCUCUCGCUGAGGAAAACCCAACCCUUCCAGUGCCCCAAUUGCCAUGCUUGCUGGCCCCCCUCACGAGGUGCAUUCAGUGCAGUCCUGACUUCCGACCAGGAUCAGGAAGGAAUUCACCCACCUCCUCAGUGAUUGCGCUCUUCAAGGUGAACAGCCCAGAUCCUUCUAGGCUGCCCGACCUCCAGCCCCCAGGCUGGGAAGGAAGUCAUCACUUCCCAGGAGAGUUUUGGAAGUCAUCACUUCCCAGGAGAGUUUUGGCAGAUUGGAUUUUCCAAAGAUGGCGCCAUCAAUAUCUCUCAUCCCCCACAAUCUCCUUACACAGUGACAGGUCAUCUGUGACACCAAGAUAUCAGGGCUGUGUCCCCCCCUCUGAAUCAGAGUAGACCUCUUUGACUGCCUCAACACAGAGUAGAGCAAAGUGAAGCCCUGUGACUCCUGAGACCAGAUCAUGGAAAUUCUAGGUUCUUCCUCUUUGUUCUCCUGGGACGUUACUCCUAGAACCAGACACCGUGCUGUAAGAAAGCCCAGGCAGACCUUGGAGAAGGCCCCGUGUGGAGAGAAACCAAAACCUGGGGCCCACCGCCCUUGCUGCCCUCCCCGACAACGACUGGAACCACACUUCAGCCCCAGAGUAAGACAUCUCCGAAGCAGGUCCUCUACCCUCCAGGGGUCUGCCCCAGAGGGUGCCCCAGAGAGCAAGGCAAGCUCUCUCCACCAAGCCCUGCAAUCUUCAAAUUCAUGAGCAGAAUAAAUAACCACAGUUGUGUCAAAAGACAAAAUCACAACAAAUUUAAAGAUCUUAAUUGGCUUUUAUGUGUGAUUCGUGAAUCAGGGCAGCCUCCAUCCUACAAAAUAAAAUGAAAGCUUGAAAGCUUCCACCAACCAGUAGCAGAACAGUGAGUUUUCUAAGGGGAAAACAAGGAAACAAAACCAUAGAAAAAUAACUGAUCAAUUAAUAGCAUUAGGUUACUUCUUUGUGAGAGUUAACGCAGGACAGACUUCCUUAUUGUGCCAGCUAAAGCUGGCCUCUUUGGUUAUAUUUCUCUCUCCUGAUUUCUCAGAAGGUCAAGUAGCUUAGUUUUGGUUUGGUGACAUGGAACUUUAGCAUGAGUGACUUCAUUUUGCUUUGGUCUGCUGGGGCUGGUAAAGGGGUCUACUUCCAGGGGAGAGUAUUUUUAAGGCUACGUAGCAUCAGGGCCACAGGAGGCUCUUGUUGACAGAAAUGACUGCAAUAUAACCAGGUCUGCUUGAGCCCUAAGUAGGCACAGCUGAUGGAUGUCCUCUACCUUUCUUAUGUGUCAGCCUCUUAGAACAUCCCUGUGGGGUUAGAUGUUUCUGUAAGCCACCCAAAGGAUAACUGACAAGCUUAUCUGUCCCGAGGGGAGGGAUGAAUAGACGGUAGUAUGACAUUGUGAUUUAUGAUAAGAAAUAUAUAUUUGGUUUUUGUCCUGCUCCCUGGCACACAGCUCCUAAAAAGCUUGGAGUCUCCAAAGUGACAAGUGUCUGUUUCUAUGCGAAUGUGGUGAUUGACCCCGGACCGCCUCAGGAGGGGGCCUGGUUGUCAAGGGGACGGAUGGCAUACUUAGAGGGCCAAAGGGCCUGCUCAGGCGAGGCGGUAUUCCUCGGGAUUCUUUUCUGCAGUGGAUAAGGAGAUAACAGGGAGGAGAAGGAAAGCAACUGUUCUCCUUGGGGGUCGGUCUUUAUGCAGAUAAGGGAAAACUCUCUUGGCCUCUGUUGAUCUCUAAGGAUUUUCAAUUCAAAAUACUCACUAUACUAGGGAGCCAUAUUUUUGGGUGAAGUUCCCUGGGUUCCUUCAGUGCUAUAGGUGAGGAAAUGUAAUUUCUUUUCUUUCCCUUAUAGAUUCUUAGUUUAGACUUGCUUGAAAACAAAAGUCAGAUUAACAAGAGAAAACCCAGCAGGAGUUUAUUAACACUUGC
rnacentral:lncRNA from 1 species